AGGGAAUAUUGCAAAAUGGGCGAAAGCCCGAUGCAGCAACGCCGCGUGGGCGAUGAAGGCCUUCGGGUCGUAAAGCCCUUUUUGAGGGGAUGAGGAAGGACAGUACCCUCAGAAUAAGCCUCGGCUAACUACGUGCCAGCAGCCGCGGUAAAACGUAGGAGGCGAGCGUUAUCCGGAUUUACUGGGCGUAAAGCGCGUGCAGGCGGAUUGGAGAGUUGGAUGUGAAAGCUCCCGGCUUAACUGGGAGAGGUCGUUCAAUACUUCCAGUCUUGAGUGCAGUAGAGGGAAGUGGAAUUCCGGGUGUAGUGGUGAAGUGCGUAGAUAUCCGGAGGAACACCAGUGGCGAAAGCGGCUUCCUGGACUGUAACUGACGCUCAGACGCGAAAGCUAGGGUAGCAAACG
rnacentral:rRNA from 1 species